rnacentral:misc_RNA from 1 species
GAUGAAGAACGUAGCGAAAUGCGAUAAGUAAUGCGAAUUGCAGAAUUCAGUGAGUCAUCGAAUCUUUGAACGCACAUUGCGCCCUGUGGUAUUCCGCAGGGCAUGCCUGUUCGAGCGUCAUUUCAACCCUCAAGCUCUGCUUGGUGUUGGGCCCUGCCCGCUGCGGCCGGCCCUAAAGACAGUGGCGGUGCCGCCUGGCCCUGAGCGUAGUACAUCUCUCGCUCCAGUGCCCGGUGGUAGCCUGCCAGAACCCCAACUCUCGUGGUUGACCUCGGAUCAGGUAGGGAUACCCACUGAACUUAAGCAUAUCAAUAAGCGGAGGA